rnacentral:rRNA from 1 species
UACGAAGGGUGCAAGCGUUACUCGGAAUUACUGGGCGUAAAGCGUGCGUAGGUGGUCGUUUAAGUCCGUUGUGAAAGCCCUGGGCUCAACCUGGGAACUGCAGUGGAUACUGGGCGACUAGAGUGUGGUAGAGGGUAGCGGAAUUCCUGGUGUAGCAGCGAAAUGCGUAGAGAUCAGGAGGAACAUCCAUGGCGAAGGCAGCUACCUGGACCAACACUGACACUGAGGCACGAAAGCGUGGGGAGCAAACAG